GACGAACGCUGGCGGCGUGCUUAACACAUGCAAGUCGCCCGGAAAGGCCCAGCUUGAUGGGUACUCGAGUGGCGAACGGGUGAGUAACACGUGGGUGAUCUGCCCUGCACUCUGGGAUAAGCCUGGGUAACUGGGUCUAAUACCGGAUAUGCUCAACUGUCGCAUGGUGGUUGGUGGAAAGCUUUUGCGGUGUGGGAUGGGCCCGCGGCCUGUCAGCUCGUUGGUGGGGUAAUGGCCUACCAAGGCGACGACGGGUAGCCGACCUGAGAGGGUGAUCUGCCGCACCGGUAUUGAGACGAUGCCCGGACCCCUACGGGGGGCAGCAGGGUGGAAGAGUGCACAAUGGGCGCAAACCUGGAGCAGCAACGCAGCUUGAGGGGUGACGGCCUUCGGGUUGUAAACCACUUGCACCGGUGACGAAGCGUGAGUGGCGGUACCUGGGGAAGAAGCACCGGCCAACUACGAUCCAGCCGCCGCGUUAA
rnacentral:rRNA from 1 species